rnacentral:tRNA from 1 species
CCCCCUUUAGCUGAGUUGGUAGAGCGCUCCACCUGUAAUGGAGAGGUCCCGGGUUCGAUACCCGGACCAGGCGGA